rnacentral:lncRNA from 1 species
CGCGCAUGCGCAGAGCGGACACGGCGGCGGCCGGAGCGGAGAGAGGGGCGGCGCCAUGAUGGCGGCUCAGGGGGGAGGAGACGGAGCCACCGAAGACGACGAUGGAGCAUCCACCGGAGCGUCAGCGCCCCCCGAUGACGGGGAGGACUCAGAGGAGACGUCGGUGUCGUCGGGGGAGAGCGGACCCCCAACACCCCCCCCAAGUAACGGCUGCGCAGGUUCCCGCAGCCGUUCCCCCCCCCCCACCCUCAGACCCAGCGGAGGAUCCCGAACUGGUGGGGGUGGGUGUGUCGGCCCUAUACAUUCUAUAGGUCCCAGCCCCAUAGAAUGGCACCAAUGCCCCGAAUGCGGCCGAGGGUUCGGUACAUCCCGAGCCCUUAAAGUCCAUCGUAGUUACCAUAUAGGGAGGAAAAGACCCCAAAGUGGGGCUGGGGGGGGUGGGGGACCCCCACCCCCCCACCCCAUUAUAUCUGUGCUGAAUGUGGGUGGGAUUCGGGACCCCUUUGGCUUUAGGGGCCCAUAGAUGCGAACACAGCCCUUAUUAUGGGAUCCAAGCCGGGGGGGGAGGGUUAAGGAAUAGACCCCCACCCCAUUUAAAUCAACCCAAGACCCCCCCGACACCCCCCCCUCAAAUACCUGAAGACCCCCCGUAUCAAUGUACUGAAUGUUCGGGGGCUUUUGGGUUAUUGAGUGAUUUACAUGAGCAUUAUAUGUUACACGCCAGGGGGAGCUGUGAGACCCCCCCCAAAUUAUGGGGACCCCCCCCCUAAUUAUAGGGACCCCCCCCAAUUAAACCCCCAUAGAUCCCAAUGGGAGAACCCCCCCCCCCCCAGUCCCCCAUUGAAAUGAAUGGGGGAGGUUGAGUCUUAUUGGGGGGGGGCAGAGACUUGAGACCCCCCCCAAUUAUGGGGACCCCCCCCAAUUAAACCCCCAUAGAUCCCAAUGGAGACACCCCCCCAUCCCCAUACAACCCAAUGGGAGACCCCCCCCCCCCCCCCCCAGUCCCCAUUGAACUG